UACGGAGGGGCUAGCGUUGUUCGGAAUUACUGGGCGUAAAGCGCGCGUAGGCGGCUUUGUAAGUUAGAGGUGAAAGCCCGGAGCUCAACUCCGGAAUUGCCUUUAAGACUGCAUCGCUAGAAUCAUGGAGAGGUGAGUGGAAUUCCGAGUGUAGAGGUGAAAUUCGUAGAUAUUCGGAAGAACACCAGUGGCGAAGGCGACUCACUGGACAUGUAUUGACGCUGAGGUGCGAAAGCGUGGGGAGCAAACAGG
rnacentral:rRNA from 1 species